GUAACGGGCGCUCGUGAUCGACGGAAGUGUUGUGUCGGCGUGAAAGAGCUUUCGUUAAAAAAGAUCGAAAAAAAACCGAAUUAGUCGAUCCAGUUCGAAUAAGAGUAAUCUUAUUUCGUGACCAGGAGGUAACGAUGUCUAUUGUCAUCAAAGAUCUGUCAUCGGGAAUCUAUGAGAAUCAUCAUACAGCCUUCUAACCUCACACGAUGUUUUUUGAUCAUGACAAGAGACGUAAUCGUGCCGGAGAAUUUUGAAUCAGAGACAGAGACAGACAGCGAGCGAGCAGUGAACUUUUUUCCAACGAUCGGUCGUGCAAGAAUAAUUCGAUGCGCUUCUUUUUUUUUUUUUUUUUGUUCUUCUCUCGGUUUUCUUCCCGCGAUUUUUCUUCGUUCCAGUUCAUCUCGUCGUCGCCGCAAAAGUGAUCGAUCGAUCGAUCGAUCGCUUUCACGAUCUCGUAUUGAAACGAUCCCUCUUCUGAAGCGAGAAUAAUCGAAAUGCAAUAUUUCAUUUCGUGAAAUGGAAUAUUUCAUAAUAUGAUAAUUUCAUAAAAAUUCAUCGAUAUCUAAUAAAGUUUUAUCUAUGAUAAAUAUUCUUUUUUUUUACGAUAGAAAAGAGAUCAGUUGUUUCGAGCAUUCAUUGUUAUCCAGUAAUUUAUUUAUUUCAUCCCUGUAGAAUUUUUUAUUUUUGAUAACGAACAAAUUCGUUCAAUGGUCUUCUGUGUCGAUUCUUCUCUUGACAAGAAAUUGUAUAAGGAAUCUGAAUCAUUGAUUUACUUGUAUUUUUAUCACAGACUUCUUUUAUCUUAAAAUAAAAUAUAUAUAUAUAUAAUAAUUAAUUCAUUCAAUAUUACGUUCACUUUCAUAUUUUACAUUUCAGUUUAAAAUGUAGAUACAUUAUAUUUCGAUUAACCACAAUUUGAAAUAAAUCUUCGAAUAAAAUCUACAAGCAAAAUCCAGGAAUAUAAUUUUCCAAUUUCGGUAGUUCGAUACCUUUCACCAUUAUAUGUUCGUUUUUAUGUCAAUUUUUUUAAAUUCCCACGAACGAUUUCACAAACUUCGCUGCUCGAAAUUUUUACAAUUGACCCAAGAGUUUUUUGCUCUCGCUAUUAAGGUGUACAGAGAAUGGAGGAACGAUCCUUGGAUUUUAUCGAUUCCGAACAUUAGCGUUCCGUCAAAUAUGUCGAGAGAUUCGAUACGAAAGAAAGUAGCGUAAUUGCCAUCGAGUUUAUUCUUCCUCGAUUCGUUGAAAAGGAAGAAAAUGGUGCGGGAGAAAAAUGGCGGUGAACGUGAUGGCGUUUCGACUAUGACUCAUUGGUAAUAAUCGUUUUUACGACGGUAUCGUGAGCUCGCUAAUUUCACCUGACAUUUUACUGCUUUUGUUGGCCUCUUUUUUCAUCGGUGAACGAAACAGCUGACGUUACGACGAACAACAUUGUUCAAAUCUCGCGAAUGGACGAAGCGAUUCCGUGAAAUUAUCGAUAUACUCAGAAUUCCAUUCGAGAAAUUCUGAUCAUUGAUCGAUUCUGGUAAAAACUAUUAUUGUGGUAAUUAGAAACGCAAUAUCUUGGUAAUUGAAUGAAACUGAAUAUUGAAAGCAUUUUUAUUUCAAUCCUUUCGUGGUAGUUGAAUGAAUAUAAAUAAAGCAUUCUUAUUUUAAUUUUUUGAAAGAAAUUUGAAAAAAUUAAAUUAUCGACUUUGAUUUUAAUAAUUAAUAUGGAAAGAUUAAAUAAUUAAAAUGAUAUCAUUGCUUAUGAAUGAUAUUGUAUAAAUAUAUAAAUAAAGAUUAAAUAUUUA